UUCUAAAUGUGUAAUGGUUUGAGGGUUGGACUGUGACUCUGGAGAUCAGGGUUCAAUUCCCCGCUUGGAAC